GUGGGGAAUCUUAGACAAUGGGGGAAACCCUGAUCUAGCCAUGCCGCGUGAGCGAUGAAGGCCUUAGGGUUGUAAAGCUCUUUCAGCUGGGAAGAUAAUGACUGUACCAGCAGAAGAAGCCCCGGCUAACUCCGUACCAGCAGCCGCGGUAAUACGGAGGGGGCUAGCGUUGUUCGGAAUUACUGGGCGUAAAGCGCACGUAGGCGGACCGGAAAGUCAGAGGUGAAAUCCCAGGGCUCAACCUUGGAACUGCCUUUGAAACUCCUGGUCUUGAGGUCGAGAGAGGUGAGUGGAAUUCCGAGUGUAGAGGUGAAAUUCGUAGAUAUUCGGAGGAACACCAGUGGCGAAGGCGGCUCACUGGCUCGAUACUGACGCUGAGGUGCGAAAGCGUGGGGAGCAAACAGGAUUAGAAACCCCUGUAGUCC
rnacentral:rRNA from 1 species